AUUGAACGCUGGCGGCAGGCCUAACACAUGCAAGUCGAGCGGUAGUGAGAAGCUUGCUUCUCUKGUGAGCGGCGGUCGGGUGWGUAAUGCCUAGGAAUCUGYCYGGKAGAGGGGGAUAACGCUCGGAAACGGACGCUAAUACCGCAUACGUCCUACGGGAGAAAGCAGGGGACCUUCGGGCCUUGCGCUAUCAGAUGAGCCUAGGUCGGAUUAGCUAGUUGGUGAGGUAAUGGCUCACCAAGGCGGCGGGCCGGAACUGGUUCUGAGAGGAUGAUCAGUCACACUGGAACUGAGACACGGUCCAGACUCCUACGGGAGGCAGCAGUGGGGAAUAUUGGACAAUGGGCGAAAGCUGAUCCAGCCAUGCCGCGUGCCGUGAAGGACUUCGGUUGUAAAGCAMUUUUAUGUUGGGAGGRAGG
rnacentral:rRNA from 1 species